GAACUAUAGGUGCCACCACGCCCAGUUUAUGAGGUACUAGGGAGAGAACACAGUGUUCCAGGUGUUCUAAGCAAGCCCUGAACCAGCUGAGCCAUGAAUACAGCGCUCUGUGUGUUCUAAGCAAGCCCUGAACCAGCUGAGCCAUGAAUCCAGCGCUCCGUGUGUUCUAAGCAAGCCCUGAACCAGCUGAGCCAUGAAUACAGUGUUCUGUGUGUUCUAAGCAAGCCCUGAACCAGCUGAGGCACAUUCCCAGCUCACUGGCUCCUAUAUUCAGAGGCUUCAGUCCUUGUGCACUUGGCUGUGUUGCUUCUGGACAUAUAAGGUGGCUACGUGCACACAAGAGCAGUGCCCAUGGAGGCCGGAAGAGGGCAUUGGAUAGACACACUGGAGCCAGAGUUACAAGCAGUGGGGUUGAAUUUAGGUUCUCAUGCAUGGACUGCGAGAGCUUUGCUGGUUGAGGCAUCUCCCCAGCCUCUGGAGCUGCAGUGUUUCUAAAAGUAACUUCUUGAAGACAACGUGCUCCUGCUGGCUGCACUUCCGGAGUGGUCCUGCCCCUUGCUCUUCUGCACAUGGCUGCCCUGUAGAUGUCUUGAUGCAGCCUGUCUGGAUUACGUAUCGCAAAGGGUGGCACCUAACUUGUGCUCACACUGGACUGCAAAUUCAUGACCCUGUCAUCCACUGAUGAAUUCAACUGUGAGCCCAACUGCUAUUGUGGAGAGAGAUGCAAUCAUCCCAAGGGGCAGGAGAGACACAUCUGCAGCAAUUCCAAGGAGACGAGGUGUGAGUCAGAAGAGGGGAGAUGCCUCCCCAGGACUGCGUGGGAAGCUUUGGAGCUCUGGUAAAGAACCAAGGGUCAGGAGACACCGACACAGUCACAUUCAUUAUAACACCAAUCACAAUGAGCAACAGCCAUGAAAUCAGCCUGGAUGCUCAUCAGUGGGUGAGGAAGCCGUCUCCAGCAAUGCUUCAUCCCGUUAAAUCAACACGGGUUGAUUCACAGCUCCUUAACACGGGCUGAGAACUUUCAAGAAAAGCAGCCAAGCCCUUCCCUGCCAAGAGGGAACCCAUAUAGCCCGGUGCCUGUGGUUGCCUCUCAGAACAUUCCUGAGAGGCAAGAGGCUUCCCAGCUCUGCCCACCCUAGCUCCCCUAGCCUAUAAAGACAUCAAGCGUUAUGGGGGGAGAAGAGGGAUGCCCCAAGGUCACACUCUGAUCCUAAGAGCCAAGUCUCUCUGAGAAUGGGGAUUGCUGGCCAAGAGGAGGAGGAGGAGAGCCAAACUUAGGGCAAUAACUUCAUAUCCUCAGUGGCCACAGCUCCUGCCCCAGUCUCUGUGGGCAUGACCUCCAACAUGGGAGCACAUCCCUGGGUGUUAAAAGGUUAAAAGGAGAAAGUGGAAGG